AAAACAAUAUUAACCAAUCCCAAUAAAAAUGAAAACAAAAUAUAAAAACACUUAUGACCGUCCAAAAUAAAAAAGGAAACCGUUAGACGGAGAAGGGGUUUGAAAUUACACAUGAAGCUUGAGGAUACGAUGAAAUGAAGAGGCAAAAUUAAGAUGAUAAAUGUACAUGAAAGGAGACAAAGGAAAAAGCACUUUCAAAAGGGCUGUGAAAUAAUAACGGUACCAAUUUUUUUCUUGAAAAUAAUUAGCAAAAUGCAACUUUUUUUAAAAUUCAUAAACAAGGAAUCAAUGAAGAAGCGUAAGAGGUGAAAAAUGACAAUAGAUAAUGCAAUAACCUUUUUUUAAUAUUUGUGGCAGAAGAGACUCCUUUCAAUUUAUCUACCGUGUUUCACACGGAGAUGCCUAACCAAGGCAUCAUGUCUACUGAAAUGGCGUUGAUCGCCACAAAUCUCACAUCGAAAUACAGGUCGUGUCUUAGCAUGUAUCGUAUCCUGGUGACGGAUCAAAUCAUACGUCCUAGAAAACACUGUGUUACAAAUUUCUCCUGUAACUCUGUUCUGAAGAGUACACCGAACUGGACCAAUUUGUUUACCAAAUUUAAACUUCCUACGCUUCCUCUGAGCACCCGUAGCAGUAGUAGAAGAAUUUGUAGGAGUGGUGUCAACAGGAGCAGAUCCGUUGGGGCCAUCAGCAGCAGCACCGGUGAUGCUUACUUUUUGGUUGGUUGGAUUAGGUACCACGGAAUGAGAAGACCUAGUAUUGUAAUACGACUUAACGUCAUUUAGGUCAUGAGUAGCAGCCGAUUGAGAGUGAGGAGCGUUGGAACUGUCUAACUCUGAAGUCGGUAAUAAGUUAGGUAUAUUAGCAGAGGUUUUAACAGGAGAAGUGAGUGGAGGAGAGGAGCUGAUCGUAGUAUUUGAAGGUACGACAACAGGAGGCUGUGAAGGAGAAAGUGAAUGUGGAUUUACCGACGUACCAAGCACCAAGGAGGGGCGAUGCUUGGCAUUGUAUGAUCGCGUUAUCGGAGGAGACAAAGAAGGGAUGCGUUGUUUAAUAGAUUCUUUAUUGAAGCUGUCCUGCCGAACAUCGGAGUGCAUGUUAUCAUUGACCAUAGAUA